rnacentral:rRNA from 1 species
GGAUAACCCGGGGAAACUCGGACUAAUACCGCAUAAUCUCUCCGGAGUAAAGCGGGGGAUCUUCGGACCUCGUGCUAUAAGAUGAGCCUGCGUCGGAUUAGCUUAGUUGGUGGGGUAAUGGCCUACCAAGGCGACGAUCCGUAGCUGGUCUGAGAGGACGAUCAGCCACACUGGGACUGAGACACGGCCCAGACUCCUACGGGAGGCAGCAGUGGGGAAUAUUGGACAAUGGGGGAAACCCUGAUCCAGCAAUGCCGCGUGUGUGAAGAAGGCCUUCGGGUUGUAAAGCACUUUCAGUGGGGAAGAAAGUCUCAAGACUAAUACUGUUGAGCGUUGACGUUACCCACAGAAGAAGCACUGGCUAACUCUGUGCCAGCAGCCGCGGUAAUACAGAGAGUGCAAGCGUUAAUCGGAAUCACUGGGCGUAAAGCGCGCUUAGGUGGAUAUUUAAGUCAGAUGUGAAAUCCCUGGGCUUAACCUAGGAAUUGCAUCUGAUACUGAAUGUCUCGAGUAUGGUAGAGGGAAGUGGAAUUUCCGGUGUAGCGGUGAAAUGCGUAGAUAUCGGAAAGAACACCAGUGGCGAAGGCGGCUUCCUGGACCAAUACUGACACUGAGGUGCGAAAGCGUGGGGAGCAAACAGGAUUAGAGACAGAACUAGCUGUUGGGGAGUUUGCUUUCUAGUAGCGAAGCUAACGCGUUAAGUUCUCCGCCUGGGGAGUACGGCCGCAAGGUUAAAACUCAAAGAAAUUGACGGGGGCCCGCACAAGCGGUGGAGCAUGUGGUUUAAUUCGAUGCAACACGAAAAACCUUACCUACCCUUGACAUCCUCGGAACUUGUCAGAAAUGACUUGGUGCCUUUGGGAGCCGAGUGACAGGUGCUGCAUGGCUGUCGUCAGCUCGUGUCGUGAGAUGUUGGGUUAAGUCCCGUAACGAGCGCAACCCUCGUCCUUAGUUGCCAGCGGUUCGGCCGGGAACUCUAAGGAGACUGCCGGUGAUAAACCGGAGGAAGGUGGGGAUGAUGUCAAGUCAUCAUGGCCCUUACGGGUAGGGCUACACACGUGCUACAAUGGGCAGUACAAAGGGUUGCCAAAUCGCGAGAUGGAGCUAAUCCCAAAAAGCUGUUCGUAGUCCGGAUUGGAGUCUGCAACUCGACUCCAUGAAGCUGGAAUCGCUAGUAAUCGCGAAUCAGAAUGUCGCGGUGAAUACGUUCUCGGGCCUUGUACAC